UAGCAGUCGCUGCAUUGUUUGCCCUUUCUUUAAGGCUGUGUUCAUGUCUAGUGGUUAUAGAGGCUGUUUAUUUUUAUAGGGUCACUGUUGGGUGUCCAUAGGCAGAGAGCUGAGCCGCUCGCUGGCUGCUGUAUGUCCAGUUCGAGCCGUGAGCCGCUCGCGAGCCGUUACUGGCUGUUACCGUGGCUGCCGGUUGCUCCCCGUUCCCUCGUGGUGGACAAAAUUUACUGAUUGGUGGGCUGCCGUUUGUCUGGAGCUGUGCGGGCUACACGGGGUCCCAACCGUAGGAGACGCUGCUGUUUUGUCUCCGUGGGUUUGUCUCGCAGACGUGGGUCUGUGUUGCCGACGCUUGCCGGUCGGCUUAGUCUUCUUCCAGUCUGUUAUCUGCUUUUGUGUUGGCGCUGUGGGUGUUUGGCUGCUUCCAGCUUGUGUCUGUGGCUGCUGACCAACCGUUGUACAUGCUGCUUCUUCUAACGUCCAGAGUGCAUGUGUGAAAAUAGGGUUUAAUUUUCUAUCUUUUCUCCUUGUCUUUUUUUGAGUAUUUACUGCAGUCACGUGGCCAGUUGUGUUUGUUAGGUAUUUUCUUUGUCUGAUUUUAGGAUUUGUGUCACGUGACUGCACUUGAUUAGUCGUUUUGUAUGCAGUGGAUUUCGUUUAAGUAUAAGUUAAUGUUCAUUCAUUCAGUUAAUUGAAUCUUUCAGUUUUGACAAACUUGUUUUUUUAUGUUAAGUAGUUUUCUUAAGUGCUGGUAAUUAUUAUUUUGUCAGCUGAUUUAUGGAACCCCGUUAAUAACUGUUCCCUUCCCUUUGUGGUUUGCAGGAGCUGUGGGCCUCCGGUGGUGGGAACUGGUGUCUUCGGGUGGUGGGAACCCCUUCCUGUGUGGCGUGCUGCUCAUCCCCUGGUUGUGUUUUUUUUUUUUAUUUAUUCACUCAGGUGUGUGUGUGUGUGUGUGCACGUGCAUGUUCACGUGUGAGUGGGGUGAUUUCUCCUGGGCUCCCUUGUGUUGCCCGUUGGCCCAAACCUCCACCAGAGAGCCCCCAGCUCUGAUUAGUCCCCAAACCCGUCAUUUAACAAUCUCGUGUGAAUGGUUGUUUUUUUUUUUCUUUUUUUGGUUUUAAACUGAGUAUUUUUAGUAUUAAAUAAAAUUUGUAUUCUUUUGCCUGCACUGGAA